rnacentral:rRNA from 1 species
AUUGAACGCUGGCGGCAGGCCUAACACAUGCAAGUCGAGCGGAUGAAGGGAGCUUGCUCCUGGAUUCAGCGGCGGACGGGUGAGUAAUGCCUAGGAAUCUGCCUGGUAGUGGGGGAUAACGUCCGGAAACGGGCGCUAAUACCGCAUACGUCCUGAGGGAGAAAGUGGGGGAUCUUCGGACCUCACGCUAUCAGAUGAGCCUAGGUCGGAUUAGCUAGUUGGUGGGGUAAAGGCCUACCAAGGCGACGAUCCGUAACUGGUCUGAGAGGAUGAUCAGUCACCCUGGAACUGAGACACGGUCCAGACUCCUACGGGAGGCAGCAGUGGGGAAUAUUGGACAAUGGGCGAAAGCCUGAUCCAGCCAUGCCGCGUGUGUGAAGAAGGUCUUCGGAUUUUAAAGCACUUUAAGUUGGGAGGUAGGGCAGUAAGUUAAUACCUUGCUGUUUUGACGUUACCAACAGAAUAAGCACCGGCUAACUUCGUG